GGAUGUGAGGGUUAUCCUCUUAAAUAUCUGUUAUCCCAUUGAUUACCGAGGAUAAUUUAGUUGAUCUGGCUGGCUAGGCAGCUGUUCCACUUAACCCUCUGCUUUUUGUGUCUAUACUGAAGUCAUGUCCUCUGUGAAGCAGGAUGAUCUUCCCCAAUAGAGGUGCAUGGUCAAGUAGCUGUGUUCCCCUGCUAGCCCCUGCAAACAAACUUGGAUAAGUACCAUCCAAGUGAUACUUAGAAUUACACAUAUAAAUCUUAGCUUUGCCUUUUCCACUAUGAAAGGUCAACUUUCUG
ensembl:misc_RNA 7SK 7SK RNA